AUUGAACGCUGGCGGCAUGCCUUACACAUGCAAGUCGAACGGUAACGGGCCUUCGGGUGCCGACGAGUGGCGAACGGGUGAGUAAUACAUCGGAACGUGCCCGAUCGUGGGGGAUAACGAGGCGAAAGCUUUGCUAAUACCGCAUACGAUCUACGGAUGAAAGCAGGGGACCGCAAGGCCUUGCGCGGACGGAGCGGCCGAUGGCAGAUUAGGUAGGUGGUGGGAUAAAAGCUUACCAAGCCGACGAUCUGUAGCUGGUCUGAGAGGAUGAUCAGCCACACUGGGACUGAGACACGGCCCCGACUCCUACGGGAGGCAGCAGUGGGGAAUUUUGGACAAUGGGCGCAAGCCUGAUCCAGCCAUGCCGCGUGCAGGAUGAAGGCCUUCGGGUUGUAAACUGCUUUUGUACGGAACGAAAAGCCUUCUUUUAAUACAGGAGGGUCAUGACGGUACCGUAAGAAUAAGCACCGGCUAACUACGUG
rnacentral:rRNA from 1 species